UGCUGGCGGCGUACCUGCACGAGCGGUUGCAGUCCCUGCAGCAGCAGCAGCAGCAGGCGCAGGAGGAGCUGCAGCUGCAGCGGGCGGCGCAGAGCUCGGUGCUGCUCCUGGCGCUGCAGCACCCGCAGAGCGUCGUGGGCUGCCUGCUGGGCAGCGCGCUGCCCUUCGACGACCCCACGCGCGCCAUGUGGCGGGCGCUGGGCGCGGAGCCGGCGCUGACGUCGCGGGUCCUGGAGCGGCUCCUGGAGCGGCUGAGCCGCGAAAUUCCCUUCAAGGAGAGCAAAGCCUUCGUGCCGGGCGGCGCCGCCGAGCGCGUGGCCACCGCCCCGGCCCUGGCCGCCACGCUGGCCCUGGAUGAGCUCAUGUCUGUGCCGGAGGCGCGCGCGUCC